CAAUGACCUGAGGAAAAGACAGGAUACUCAGUCCGUAACCUGUCCUCUCACUUGUUGGGUGUGGCAGCACACUGGGUUUAUGGGACAGUCAGAGAGAGUAGGUGUUGUACGACAAGAUGCCUCGGUGUACGCCAAGACAAGCAAGGACAGGUCUUAGAAUGGCUGUGAGCCAGCAUUCAUGGACCAAGGCUCCAUGUACCCGACGGCUGGAAGGCGCUGUGACAUCUCAACUCCGAGACCAGCCAGACAUCUCAACUCUGAGACCAGCCAGGCAUGGUCUCUUCCACAUGGCUUAAGGAGGAGCAGUGUAUCCGGCAUCAAUAAAAAUUAAAGUUAAAAGGAAGAGGCAGCUGUGAAGACAGCUCGGUGUGUGAGGCCUGAAUUUGAUCCUCAGAACCCAGAUUUUAAAAUAAAAACCCCUGGAAAGGGCUGGAGAGAUGGCUCAGCGGUUAAGAGCACCGACUGCUCUUCCAGAGGUCCUGAGUUCAAUUCCCAGCAACCACAUGGUGGCUCACAACCAUCUGUAAUGAGAUCUGAUGCCCUCUUCUGGUGUGUCUGAGGACAGAUACAGUGUACUUAUAUAUAAUAAAUAAAUAAAUAAAAAAAAA